UCCCUGAUGGCUUAGAGGAUAAAGCGUCUGCCUGCAAUGCAGGAGACCUGGGUUCGAUCCCUGGGUUGGGAA
rnacentral:tRNA from 1 species